rnacentral:tRNA from 1 species
GGCUGGAUCACCUCCUUUUGAGCAUGACGUUAUUCGUCCUGUCGGGCGUCCUCACAAAUUACCUGCAUUCAGAGAUUCAUACCGGCACAGGUCGGUAUGCGAAGUCCCUUUUGGGGCCUUAGCUCAGCUGGGAGAGCACCUGCUUUGCAAGCAGGGGGUCGUCGGUUCGAUCCCGACAGGCUCCACCAUAUUGAGUGAAAAGACUUCGGGUCUGUAGCUCAGGUGGUUAGAGCGCACCCCUGAUAAGGGUGAGGUCGGUAGUUCGAGUCUACCCAGACCCACCACUCUGAAUGUAGUGCACACUUAAGAAUUUAUAUGGAUCAGCGUUGAGGCUGAGACAUGUUCUUUUAUAACUUGUGACGUAGCGAGCGUUUGAGAUAUCUAUCUAAACGUGUCGUUGAGGCUAAGGCGGGGACUUCGAGUCCCUAAAUAAUUGAGUCGUAUGUUCGCGUUGGUGGCUUUGUACCCCACACAACACGGCAUGUAGCUCCGAGGCAACUUGGGGUUAUAUGGUCAAGCGAAUAAGCGCACACGGUGGAUGCCUUGGCA